AUUGAACGCUGGCGGCAUGCCUUACACAUGCAAGUCGAACGGUAACGCGGGGCAACCUGGCGACGAGUGGCGAACGGGUGAGUAAUACAUCGGAACGUGCCCAGUAGUGGGGGAUAGCCCGGCGAAAGCCGGAUUAAUACCGCAUACGACCUACGGGUGAAAGCAGGGGAUCGCAAGACCUUGCGCUAUUGGAGCGGCCGAUGUCAGAUUAGGUUGUUGGUGGGGUAAAAGCCUACCAAGCCGACGAUCUGUAGCUGGUCUGAGAGGACGACCAGCCACACUGGGACUGAGACACGGCCCAGACUCCUACGGGAGGCAGCAGUGGGGAAUUUUGGACAAUGGGCGCAAGCCUGAUCCAGCCAUGCCGCGUGCGGGAAGAAGGCCUGGUGUAACG
rnacentral:rRNA from 1 species